GAAACAUUAACAAGAAUCUUCAUUUACUUAGUAACCUUUAAAAGAAUUAUUCUUUAAUCAAUUUUGAAAUAACAAAAUCAUUUAAUUCAAAAUGCAAAAAAAAAAGAUUUAAUUUUUAUUUAAUAUUUGGAUUUAAUCCCUACUACUGAUCAUUAAAUAUGAUAUUCUAUUGAUAUAUUUUAAAAUAAUGGUUUUUCUUCUGACGAUCUGCAAAAAUAUGUAGUUCCAUAUUCUUGGAUAUCAGUGUCAACUGAAUUACAUUAGGUAAUUAAACAUUUACAAAUGGGAUUGUAAGAAAAACGGGGAAGGAAAAAAAAUCUUUCUCCUUCUGACGGCAUUCAGUGAACCUGCCUUCACCAUUUUAAGCCAAAAUUGCUAGCACCGAUAUCAAACAACAUAUCAAUGUACAUAUGGUCAUUCCUUAAUUUAACCCGAGGACAAUUUAAUCCCUACUGAUCAUUAUCUUGAUCAAGAAAGCGCCUUAGAAAUUGUCAACCUGGGAUUAGCAGACCCAUAUCCACCCUUGGAAUAAAGGAUAACAGACACAAAUACCCAACGGAAAAAUAGCUACAACUAGUUCACGGGAACCUUGUAAUGAUUUGGAAGAUUUCUUUGGAUUCCAUGAAAUCGAUUAUCAUGAAAAUAAUAUAUUGGAUAGAUAUUUUUUAAAUAAUGAUAGCAAUAUUACUAUUUUUGAACAUUUCCAUGAAUUAAAAAAUAUUUAUAUUAAAUACAAUACCCCGCUUCCCUCUAGUGCUCCUGUGGAGCGCCUAUUUAGUAUCGCAAAACAGGUCUUAGGGGAGAAGCGUGGGUGUUUGUUAGAUUCUAAUUUAGAAAAUUUAUUACUUUUAAAAGCUAAUAAAAGAUUAUAAAUAUUUUGAUAUAUCAUAUAAUAUAAAUAAAACGUUUUGAUAAAAAAAUAUGAUUUUGUUUCGUGUACCUUCUAAAAAAAUGAAAAUCAAAGGAGCGGUUAUGGAGCGGCACUCCAUUAGUUGGAGCGGGAGCGCUCCUUUUAAUAUGUAGUAGCGGGAGCGGGAGUUCGCUCCUUUUGAGAAGGU